rnacentral:tRNA from 1 species
GCCGGUGUAGGGUAGUGGUUAUCCUGAAGGACUGUGGAUCCUUCGACCCGGGUUCGAUUCUCGGCACCGGCC